rnacentral:lncRNA from 1 species
GCAAAUAACCUAGCCAUAGUUCACAAAACACACACACACACACACACACACACACACACACACACUCUCUCUCUCUCUCUCUCUCUCUCUCUCUCUCUCUAUAGAUCUCUCUCUUUAUAUAUAUAUAUGGAGUCCGGCUACUGUACUCUUAUGAGAACGAUCGACUUCAUACCCAUAAAUUAUUUUUAAUGAUAGAGCUUUCGAAUCGAUGAUUCAUAUCGUCAAACAUGAUUUAGGAUAUUUGAAAUUUUUAAAAACUAAAUUUUAUAAUUAUUCGACAUCAUUACCUUAUGAUCAAAAAAUCUAAAAAUUGAUAAUUUUCAACGACCGGUAUGAGAUAUUCGCUAGUUUAACGGUGUAAAAGAAUCGGAAUUGGUUGAAUAUUUGACAGAAAAUUUUAUUCACUAUCUAGAUAGAGAUCUAUAACUCGGAUCUUAAAUUGAAGAAUCCGAAACUCUAUUUUUAGGAAGUCAUUCAAUUUUGACAGUCUAUUUUAUGCCUAUUUGAUUAACUUUAUUAUAAUUUCGAAAAUUACAAAAUUCAUUUUCUAGAAUUUUUAAAUGCUCUAUAUCAGUUAUAACAAUAUGGAUUGUCGAUUUGAAAUUCCCAUUAUUGAAAAUAACUUAUGAAGACAAAGAGCUUUAUACUCAUAAAAAUAUAGUAGUCCUACUAUAUAUAUAUAUAUAAUUGAGCUCCUAUGCUUUUAAAAGUACAAAAUCAUUGGUGCUUAUAAGUUUUCGGCCCUUGGAUUAAAGGAUGUGCGGUUAGGAUGAUAUGGGCCCCCUAGGGUUGAGUAGUUAGUUGGUUGAAUAGUAUAAUCUAACGGGUGACACUACAACAGAAUUAGGUUAUAGAGACACAUGUUUGGGACACUUUUGAGUAAGUGUCCCAUUUAUACUAAAACUUAAAAAAACAUCUACUAAUGUCUAAAUAUAAAACCCAAUCCAACCAAAAAUAAAAGAUUACUCUACUCAACCCAUCACACCCAAUCCAUUUGACCCGAUUACAAAUAGAAAAGAAAAAAAAAAAAAAUCAAUUACCAUAUUUUCUUCUCUCUUCACUCAAUCUACUGAAAUUCUAGACGAAGAGCCAUUCCUGUCGUCCUCCUCCGCCACUGCGGCCAACGAGAUAGAGUUUCGGCAGUUGCUAAAUGCUUAAAUAAGUUGUUAGUAAAUUAGCAGCACUCUUUUAGGUUAUAGCGACACUCUUUAACUGUCACUAUAUACCUAGCGACCCCACAUAUAGCAACACUUUUUNA